AACCUCCAAUCCUGGAGCUGUUUGCUCUAUAGCUUGGUAGGUUUAGGGCCUACCUCGGAAAGGAACGGGCAGUUAUGUUGACAGGAUGUGGUAUAAAUAACCCUUGAGGCACAUGAGACACAGAGCUAAUGAAGUGCCUGAAGGAAAAAGUCUUACUAUCAAGCUAUGAAUCCUCUCCCCUGUGCCACAAACCAGAGGUCACAUGACUUAGGAAUGUGUAUCCAAAGAUAAUACUACCUUCAGAGAACUCUACUUACAGGCAUCAAUGUGGGAAGCGACAUCAACAGUUGGGUGGCACUUCCAGGCUAAUUCUGUCAAGUCCUGCAUUGAACAUCUGUCUUCCCACCAUUCAGUCAAAUAGACCCAAGAUUGUAACAAGGGAUGUCUGAGCAUAUAACUCGGAGUUGAAAAUCAACAUCAUCAUCCACAGGCUGAAAUAUCAACUUGGGAUGGAAAGUUCUUCCUUAUGUUGAUUAAAUGAAGCCGAGAUCUUCUGUUUUGGUUCACACUAACGGUGCCCUGUCUCCCUGGGCCAUUUUAGUGCUUCAUGGGAGUUAAAGUUUAGGUUGCCCUAUGCCCUUGAUUUAAUUUAUGGCUAUAUUAUCUCACAAUACCACAGACCCCACUGAUGCCUUACUGUGGUUCAAGCAGAGGGCAAUAUUGAUGGACAAUCAUGUUCAUUUUGCCAAACCCAAAUUCUCAUUAAAAAAAACAAACAACCCCCCCAACACACAUUCACUGAAAAAUACUCCUGACAAGUCUCUCUUGACUAAUAUCUCCUGAGCAGAAUGUGUGUGCCACACAUUCAGGCAUACUCAAUAUAUGGGGUAUGUUCUUGCAUUUUAGAGGGUAUCUUAUCCUAAUGAUGUUAUAGGUUUUAUCCAAAAACCUACUUCUUUUAUCCAAAUUUUAUUCUUGUGCAAGAACCAGAUUUUCCAUUUCCAUUGCCAUUUCUAAGGAAAUUCUACUACUUUUUUCAUUUUGAAAUGCAACAAAAAUGCCUUUAAUGCUUUUAAUUUCUUAUGAAAUUAAAUUCCAAAAAUAAUAAUAAUUUGGAUAAAUCAGGCCAUUCUGUUUAAAUAAAAUCAAGACAUUUUAUUCUAGCUUGGAGUUUAAAAACCUUUGUCAUGCUUUAAAAAUAAAAAUCCAGGGACUUCAUUUUGAAAGGUUAUAUAUAAAAAAAAAAUUUAAAAAGCAAAAUGGCAAGUUCCAAAAAUAUCAAAAGGGCAUUGAUAUUAUUGAAAAUGCUUUAUAUUGAUUAUUUCCUAAAUGUCUUGAUUUCAAUAAGAGAGCAUUUAUAAGAGAAAAAAGACUUAACUGAAAAACUUUGAACCAGUUGUAGUGUGAAUGCGGGUGACAAAUAAUUAGAGAAUUAAGUUGAUUAUGAUGCUUGUUAAUAGAUAUGAAUGUUGUUUUCUUGUGUCCUUUGUCCUCCUUAUGUGCACGUAUCUCCCACCUGGCCAUUCAGCUGACUUCAAGUCUAUAUACGAUGUAUGUAAGAUUUUGGGUGUACUCUGAGAUUAGGUGUCCUAUGAACCCCAGCUCUUCUACAGUGCACUGCCUUCUUCAGAAGGUUGCCUUUGUGCCAUGAAAGUAUAAUCAUCAUAGAAAGCCUAUCUUGAGACUAAAGACAGUUAGGGUGGAAAGGACCAGGGAUGUCUGUAGAUAUUUGCAUUAGCAAACAGGAAUAUUUAGAAUAGGUAGGAAAGGAGAGUUCUUAGCUGGGUUGGGAAUACAUCUCUACUUAAUGAGACCAGAAGCCACCAUUGUGAGAAGGAUACACUAGCCUUUGAAGUAGGUUUGCAUGUCACAAAAGAAAGCUUCUCAAACUCAAUGUUGUAAUUUUCAUCCCGUGCUUUUCUAGACCUCUGUGAGAGAUUUUUAUUUAAUGUCCUCCUGAGUGGAUUUGAAAAUGAAGUAGCACCUAAUUGUCUUCUUAGCAAGGGAUAACACAAUAAAGGGAUCAUCACUAUCAGAACUUCUACCUUCUUGAUCAGAGGAGAAAACACUGAAAAGUAAGAGAAAGAGGAGACCAUCUGGAUAUGUGUUGUAGAUUUUAAUUCGCCUACAAAGGCCUGGAGGUAGCAGGGAUACUAAAGUGUUGUGAGAGGCUAGAAGAGUAGGACUGUCUGUCUGUGUGGGUCAGUGAGCAAGGCUGUCAGAGCAGAGACUGUUUUACCUGGUGAUAUCAGACUGGGGCUAACUAAUAUGCUAUGUCUGAUCACCUGUCAACUCUAAGAAAUGCAAGAAACAGGUUCAAAUAGAAGGUCAAAUGCUCAGCAACCAAAGCAAUUCAACUUUAGAGUUUAUACUAAAGGUAGGCAACCCCCUGCAUGUGUGCCAGAACAUGGCAUGCAAAGGUGUUUUGCUUGGCACACGUGCCUCCGGUGGGGGGGAGCCAGGAGGGGCCCAAUCCUUGUUGUGGCAGUGCAGCCCCAACCCCUUCCCUGCCACCUGGCAUGUAUGCACGUGCUGCCAGCAGCAAGCCAGGCUGCGGUUCCUUGGACACCGGUGCAGCUCCUUGCAGCCUACCCACUACCUUCUGCGAGUAGCCUGGGCUCCAUGACAAGCAGCAGGGGCCUGCCUGGAGCCCAGGCUGGCUAUGGCAGGCAGCUGGGAGGCUGUAAGUGGCUGUACUGGGCUUUAUGGAGCCCUGGACUGGCUCAUUGUUGGUGACAGGUACACGCACGCCUCAGAGUGGAUGGCAGGGAAGGGGCCAGGGCUGUGUUGCUACAAGAAGGAUCAGUCCCCUCGCAAUUCCCCUGCCAUCUGCCCCGGCACACCAACAUCUUAACAAGUCGAAGUUGCAGGUGUUUUCAGCACUCUGCCCAAAAACAUGGCUGAUCCCUGGCAAUUUGCAAGCUGGCUGCUCCAGGUUCAAUUUACAACUUGCCUUGAUGCACAUAAGACCAAAAACUCAAAGGUAAUUACAGAAAAUCAGUGGCAGUUAAGCUCCUAAAUGUUUUUCAACAUCUGAGUCCGAGAGCAUUAAGGAAAUGCACACAGACAUUAAAUAUUGGAGUAGGUCGAGUCCGGUACCUUGUCUUCCACAGUAGUCGUGAGUAUAAAACUAUUCAUAAACCUCAGCUGUGCUGUGAAUAUGCAGCAUCAUGAUCACCCCAGCUUGGGGUUCUUGGCAGGUUAAAUAUCUCACUCCUAAAGCACUAAUUCAGUGUGCAUUGAACUUUUUAAAAAGUAUCAUAAAUGGUGCAUGUGCAGUAUAUAGUUUAUUACUGCAAAAUGUUUUGUCAUAUGAUAGACGCAGAGAAAAAUAAAACAGUUUUAUACUACUGAUGCUAAAAUUUAUAUUUUCAAAAUGCUUCCAUAAAUUACUUGGAGUUUGGGACAUUUCAUAAAGUUAGAAUGUUCUUUUCCUGUUUUAUCAAUUGCUUUUUUAUCUAUUAAGAAUUUGUAGAGUGUCUAGUUUCGCAAACAUUGGUGAAAAAAUAUAUCUUCUUUUGAAUUCAAUUUUGAAAUUUCACACAGGUCAAAUGAAUAUUCCUGCAUAAAAUUCUCCUGUUGGACUGUAAAUUUUUGCACAAAAUCUGACCUGUUCCCCAAAUGUCAAUGUUUUUGCAUUUCAUUGGAGACUUUUCAUGCGACCCUUGAUUAUACAAAACAAACCCUGAUAUCCCAGCAGUUGAAAUUGGACUCUUGCAUUUCUACAACAUAUUUGAAUUUUUUCCUUUCCUAAUCUCUCUCUAACUCUGCCACCCUUUGCACACCCCUGAGAAAUGAUAGAUAUGAAAUAAAUUAAGAACAGAAAAGGCCCUGCCUAGUUAAAAAUCCUGCUAAUUAAAUAGAGCCUUUUUAAAGCUGAGCAAGAAAUUGAACUACAUCGAGAGUUUUUUUGGAUAUCAACAGAACAUCUUAAACAGGUCUUUAUUUCUAUCAAAAUCGUCAUCUGGGUGUGCAGAAAUGCUCUGAAUCACUUCAGGUAUUUUUGCUGCUCUUUCCUAUAUCAGAACAUGCUAUUUUUACUCUCUUUUUGACCAUGCCAUGGAACAUCUCUUAUUUGGAUGGAAGCUACAUGAUCCAAAAACAGUCCAUAUAGUGGGAGAUAUGUGAAACACUGCUGAACAUAGUGCAGUUGGAUGACCAUUGAUCUCUAAGUUCGGGAGAUAAUUCUUCACUAAAAAUGGUGCGACCUGAAAGCAGACACUUUCCCUGCAUGUUUAAAAAGUGAAAAGAAAAAUAAAUUGUGUUGCAGCUGAGAUUUUAUAGUUACAAAUGAACUUGUUUCUGGGGUUGUUUUUUUUUUUUUUAAAGUAGAAAUAGUAGCAAUUUUUAGUUCUAAUCAAAAUGCUAAACAAAUGUAUUUUUACUCCUCCUGUCUCUUAGCUUUCUUUGAAGUCACAAUAUUAAACCUCCUUAAAAAUA